AGAAUCUCUUUACAGACGAUACUUUGGUUCCUUCAACCAAAUCAUUCAAGUAAUAUUUCAACUUGCUUGUUCUCGAGAGGCAAUGUGGGUAGAAAAUAAAUAGGAGGUUCACUACCAGGGUGGCAUCAAAAUGUGAAACCUUUUGGUCACCGCGACUCGCCAAGACUCUCUGUGUUGCCUUGACAAAUCACUUAAACCCAGUCGCUUUCCUCACCUGUGAAAUGAAGGCUUUGGAUUAGGCUUCCACGCUCCUUUCCUGCACUGGAUCUGUGAGUCAAUGAUUCUAGUGAUACACAGAAGUUCUACAACCUGCCUCUGUGAAAGGAGAACACGUAUCAAUACAAUUCUCAAUCUGAGGGUAAAUUAAGGUAAACAAUGAAAUUGCAGUGAGAUUGGAACAUUCUGGAAUACCUAUGAUAUAUACAUCGGGGGAAAUUACAAAGGAAUAAUAAGAACACAAGAACAAAGCCUGGGUGCCAUCAUUUAGGUGAUGUGAUUUGAAAACUAUGCAUGGAAGAACCUUCUGCAAAAUGAUGACAUCCUACAUCCUGAAAUUUCCAACAUUAGUCAUGCCUGUAAGUCUGGACGCAAUCAUUAAAAAUUCAGAACUAUUGUCUGUUCAAGAUUUGUUUCCGUGAGGAGGUGAAGGAAGUCAUGUCCACCAAAGCUGAAGAUAAGUGCCACUACAUCCUUGUUCCAUAUUCUUGCUGUGUUAAGGUAAAGUAGACCUCUUUUUUG